UACGGAGGAUGCGAGCGUUAUCCGGAUUUAUUGGGUUUAAAGGGUGCGUAGGCGGACUGUCAAGUCAGCGGUAAAAUACGGGGGCUCAACCUCCGCCCGCCGUUGAAACUGACGGUCUUGAGUGGGCGAGAAGUAUGCGGAAUGCGUGGUGUAGCGGUGAAAUGCAUAGAUAUAUGGAAGAACACCAGUGGCGAAGGCGGCUGUCUGGUCUGCAACUGACGCUGAGGCUCGAAAGCAUGGGUAGCGAACAGG
rnacentral:rRNA from 1 species